rnacentral:rRNA from 1 species
UACGUAGGGUGCGAGCGUUAAUCGGAAUUACUGGGCGUAAAGCGUGCGCAGGCGGCGCGUUAAGACAGGUGUGAAAGCCCCGAGCUUAACUUGGGAAUUGCGCUUGUGACUGGCGUGCUGGAGUGUGGCAGAGGGAGGUGGAAUUCCAGGUGUAGCGGUGAAAUGCGUAGAUAUCUGGAGGAACACCGGUGGCGAAGGCGGCAUCCUGGACCGGCAGUGACGCUGAGGCGCGAAAGCCAGGGGAGCAAACGGG